UGGGUGAAGAUUCGAGAAUUGUCGUGUAUCAAUUUGCCAACCACAGUUUCAAAUUGGAUUGAAGCUUGAGCUUCAACCAGUUGCGAUAAAGAAAUUGGGAAACUCAGCUGUAAGGACUGCACACAUGACUCCAUGCACUCCAAAUAAAGAAAGUCGGUUAACUGCUCUUCGUCUUUGUUUACACUCUAUCCUCAUUCCCUCACGGUCUAAGCUUACCAGUUUUAUGCACAGGCCCACCCGCAUCCAUUCGCCUCUCUUUGCUUGCUUGGAAAAAUGACAGUCAGCCCAAUGGAAACGCUGAAUCGAAGUCCCCCUUUGAAACAACAACACAUUAUUUCCCUCUCAGGUCAUAAUAAUUCACCCAGGACUGGCUUGAUAGUAUGAAAAGGUGUGGUCCUUGGAACAUCAUAUAUAGCUCCAAAAUAUGUAGAAUUGUCAAGCUUGGAACACCAUAGCAUCAUGGUGACUGGCUUGACAGUAUGAAAAGGUGUGGUCCUUGGAACAUCAUAUAUAGCUCCAAAAUAUGUAGAAUUGUCAAGCUUGGAACACCAUAGCAUCAUAGCUCCAAAAUCUGCAGGCGUGC